rnacentral:rRNA from 1 species
UGGGGAAUAUUGCACAAUGGGCGAAAGCCUGAUGCAGCGACGCCGCGUGGAGGAUGAAGGUUUUCGGAUUGUAAACUCCUGUUAAGUGGGAAGAAAGACACUUACCUAAUACGUAAGUGGGAUGACGGUACCACUAGAGAAAGCACCGGCAAACUUCGUGCCAGCAGCCGCGGUAAUACGAAGGGUGCGAGCGUUAUUCGGAAUAACUGGGUGUAAAGGGCGUGCAGGCGGCCUAUUAAGUCAAUCGUUAAAGAGCUCAGCUUAACUGGGCAAAGGCGAGUGAAACUGGUUGGCUAGAGUUUGGGAGAGAAGAGUGGAAUUCUCGGAGUAGCGGUAAAAUGCGUAGAUCUCGAGAGGAACACCGGUUGCGAAGGCGGCUCUUUGGCCCAACACUGACGCUUAAGCGCGAAAGCGUGGGGAGCAAACAGG